rnacentral:rRNA from 1 species
UACCAGCACCCCGAGUGGUCGGUACGAUUAUUGGGCCUAAAGCAUCCGUAGCCGGCCUUACAAGUCCUCCGUUAAAUCCAGCUGCUUAACAGAUGGGCUGCGGAGGAUACUAUAAGACUAGGAGGCAGGAGAGGCAAGCGGUACUCAGUGGGUAGGGGUAAAAUCCGUUGAUCCAUUGAAGACCACCAGUGGCGAAGGCGGCUCACUGGCCCGAUACUGACGCUGAGGCACGAAAGCGUGGGGAGCAAACAGG